GAGCGGUGCCGUGGUGGUGCGAGAGCAGUGCAAGAGCCCAGCCAGAAUGAGCCGGGGAAGACCUGACAAGGGGGGGUGCUCAAUGCUCCAGAGGACAGCAGCAAGUCCCGGGGCCACGCUGGGGCCACCCUGGGAGUCCAGAAGGCUGCCUCCCCCCGGAUGCGGGGCACGAGGGCCAGCUGCGUGGAGCACGAGCAGCUGCCUUUGGGCCACAAUAGCCCAAAGGAGCCCCAUGAAGGGGCUGUGCUCGGCUGCGGAGGAAGGCAAAAAACCCCGGGGACACUUGCUGGUCCACCCUGGGGGCAAAAAAGCCCUUCCCCCCCCAGCUGCAGGACACGAGGGGCCACCUUCAUGGUGCAUGAGCACCAGGCGAUAACCCAGCCAGAAUGGAGCGAGGAGCCCUGACAAGUGGUCAUGCUCGGCACUCAGAGGAAGGCGAAAAACCCCCGGGGACCAGUGCCAAUCUGCCCCGGGGGAAAAUUCCUUCCUGACCCCAGCGCUGGCGAUCGGCUACUCCCUGAGCACGUGAGCAAGACCUGCUCCCGGUCCACGGGCUGGUUAUGGCUCUUGGGGGACACUGGCACCGCCUUUUCUGCCUCCACCUGGAGCCAUCUCAGGGGCUUCCGAGAAUAGCAAAGUGCUGCUGAUGUGAUCAACCCUGGGGGCAAGAAUCCUUCCUGUGCCGGGCAGUGGGAGCUCCAAGGCACUGGGGGAGGGCAGUGGGCCAUCUGUGGAUCCUAUUUCUUGUGGCUGCUGCCACUAUCUCCCCAGAAGAUGAGGACGGCGAGCUCCCCGAAGACUGAAGCAGGAUUUCCAUCCAUCCAUCCAUCUGAUGAGCUGUGAGUGUGGCCCCUCCAGGAGCUGGAAUUGCAGCGGAGAACCUCCAGCAGCUUCGGGCAGUCUUCUUGCCUCAGCUCCUCCAAGUAAAUCCACCAGUGCCUCAAGGAAUUCCUCUUGGGUGCCUUCAGGCUGCCAGCUCUGUCCUGGUGGCAGCGCCGGAUGCUCUGGCAGUGGGACACGGGAGGAUGCUGCCUUAUACUGCCCCAGGGCACUGUGAUGCUGUGCUGGCGGGGGGUGGCACUAUGACACGGGGGUGGCGGGGCCCCCGCAGCCCUGCCCAGCGCAGCCCUGCUGCUGCCCUUUUGCCCAGCAUCCCUUGGAGAAAGGCCUUUGGGGUGCUGGCCCCGAGGCAGUGCCUGUGCCCAGGAGGCCCAGGGGGAUGUCCCUGCCCAUGGUGGCCACAUGCUGGGCACCGCUGUUGGGUGUCCCUGU
rnacentral:lncRNA from 1 species